AAUUGUUCCAUCUGUGUGGGGAGUUGUCCAAAAAGGACAUUCUUGUGGCCUGAGAAUACAAAAACCAUCGCCGCUGUCAUCACCUCACACUGACUUACAUCUAGCACCAAUUCAUUAAGCAUCAACCGUAUUCUUUGCAUGGUGCUAUCAUCAAAAAUCUUUUCUUCAGAGGAACCCACAGAUGCGUGACGUUUCCCAGGCCUCUGAGGGAUCACCCAGCAGGAGCAGAGAAGCGUGUAGGUGUGGAAAACGACUCGGGGGAAGCAUAACAGAGCAUCUGUAGCUUCAACUUUGUAAUUCUUCUGUGCUGGCUGGUUUCCAGAAUAAGCUGACUGAAUAAACUCACCACCUUUCAGGGCAGCCACUCCAAGGAAUCUUUACGUCUGAUCUCUGCAAAAGUCUUCUAGACCAGGAAAAUUAAAGGGAAGUACAUCUCAGAAACUUGUAAAGAUGGUGGGGGGUUUUGUUGUUGUUGUUGCUGGGUAUUACUGUGAAAUACCUCAUCUCCUUUAAAUCACAUUUUGUUUUCUUUUUAGUAAUUUUUAUUUUUAAUUGCAGUAAAAAUCACAUAACACAAAGCUUAUUACUUCAACCAUUUUUUUAAGUGCAGCGUUCAGUCAUACUAAACACAUUGACAUUAUUGGGCAACUGGUCUCCAGGACUUUUUCAUAUUGCAGAAUUGAAACUGUAAACCCAUUAAACAACAACUCCCCAUUUCCUCCUCCCCUAGACACCACCGUUCUACUUUCUGUUUCUACGAAUCUGACUUUAGAUCUCAUAAAAUUUAAAAAGAAAGACCCAUUGUUGAUGGCACAUUCAAGUCAACAUAGCAUUCACAUGGACAGGGGUGUGCUGGCAGAUGCAAAUGGAGAAGUCUGCUUUGGUCACAUGUUUCCAUUCCUUUCAUGCUGUUGGUGCCUGCACAUGCAUGUUCAUGGAAGAUCAACAUUUCAGAGAAUGGUUAUGCUCUACCAUGCCAGCCUCGGCUUGAGAUUGUCCAGAGCCCAUUCUCUGAACUCCAUUUCUGCUGGCCAUGACAGAGGCCGACAAUUCAACAGUCAACAGCAAUAACAACAACAGAACGCGUGGGGAUGGAAAAGCCAUCCCAUCCCCCAAGUGGUGAGCAGCACUGACAGGACGCUAGCAGACGACUAUGAAAGGAAGGUGGUCUGGAGCCCUGUGUCCAAAGGAUGCUGGCAGGUGCUUGGUAGUACGAAGAGACCAAUACAGCCUCAACUUUGUUCCUGACCAGUCUGAGGCCACUUUCUUCCCUAAGCUCCCACAGUUCUGUUGUCUCAAGAAAGUAAUAUUUAAUGAAGCUUUUGAAAACCUAACUUUCUUGCCUGUCUCCACAGACCUACGAGGCAGCAUUUUAUUAUGUGUGUAGCUAGUCACAUGAUUCCAAUCAUAAUAAAAGAGCCAUGGACCAUA